rnacentral:rRNA from 1 species
UUUGAUCCUGGCUCAGGACGAACGCUGGCGGCGUGCCUAAUACAUGCAAGUCGAGCGAACAGAAAAGGAGCUUGCUCCUUUGACGUUAGCGGCGGACGGGUGAGUAACACGUGGGCAACCUACCCUAUAGUUUGGGAUAACUCCGGGAAACCGGGGCUAAUACCGAAUAAUCUCUUUUGCUUCAUGGUGAAAGACUGAAAGACGGUUUCGGCUGUCGCUAUAGGAUGGGCCCGCGGCGCAUUAGCUAGUUGGUGAGGUAACGGCUCACCAAGGCGACGAUGCGUAGCCGACCUGAGAGGGUGAUCGGCCACACUGGGACUGAGACACGGCCCAGACUCCUACGGGAGGCAGCAGUAGGGAAUCUUCCACAAUGGGCGAAAGCCUGAUGGAGCAACGCCGCGUGAGUGAAGAAGGUUUUCGGAUCGUAAAACUCUGUUGUAAGGGAAGAACAAGUACAGUAGUAACUGGCUGUACCUUGACGGUACCUUAUUAGAAAGCCACGGCUAACUACGUGCCAGCAGCCGCGGUAAUACGUAGGUGGCAAGCGUUGUCCGGAAUUAUUGGGCGUAAAGCGCGCGCAGGCGGUCCUUUAAGUCUGAUGUGAAAGCCCACGGCUCAACCGUGGAGGGUCAUUGGAAACUGGGGGACUUGAGUGCAGAAGAGGAAAGUGGAAUUCCAAGUGUAGCGGUGAAAUGCGUAGAGAUUUGGAGGAACACCAGUGGCGAAGGCGACUUUC